rnacentral:misc_RNA from 1 species
CGUUUCUCACGCUGGACUGCUCGUUGGGACCUCUACUAGACUCGCUCGUGAUUGUCGACUUGCGACCCGGCGGACCGGUGCUGGCGGAUCUGCAUGGACAAACAGCAGUCUGACGGAGGUGUCGUGAACGGCGUACUGACCCGUCAUUCGCACCCUGUCACAGAUCAGCUUCGCGGACGAUACCUUCCACUCCUCGACUCUCGACGCCUGUUUCCUCAGUCGCAGAUGCACUACAACGUGGAGAAACACACUCUCCUCAUCCUGCGCACCUGCGUGUGCAUGCAAACGUUACGGAAACGUCGAGGGAGAGA